CAGACAUUUAGUCACGCAUCCAUCAUGUAUUUAUGGAGUGCCUACCAGUCGCAGAGUCGCACGGCUCUGUUCUGGGCUCUGGAGCUAUAUCAGUGAGCAAUGUAUAUAUAUAAAACAAUGUUGAUUGAAUUUCAUCGUGACGAAAGUUAGGACACAGAGGGGAAAGACAGUGACUCCAGAGAAGUGACGUGACUUCCCCUAAGUCACGCAGCUGAUAACAAUGAAGAAACCAAUCCACACAGCAAGCAGGAGUGUGAGAGAUGAGCCACCCCUCCCUCUGAAAAGGGGUCGUUUAGAUCCUUCCUGUGCACAUGAGUCUCACGUCACCCUCCGGAGUGUCGAGAAGAAAGACGAGCCGUGGAACGGACAGCUCAGUGGCGUUGUGUUCACACGGCUGUGCCACCACCACCAACCUCCCCCUCCAGAGUCUAAAGCCCUCUGCACCUGUUAGGACAGCCAAUUCCCGAUGUGCCCUGCGGGCAGUGCUCUCCUCCCUGACUGUGAUGCUGACUGUUCUAGUAAGUUCCUUACAGAAGGAGACGUGUACAGUAUUUGUCUUCUCUUUCUUUCCUUCUUUCUUUGGUUUCUCUCCUUUUCUUUCUG